rnacentral:rRNA from 1 species
CACGUAGGCGGGUUGUUAAGUCAGGGGUGAAAUCCCGGAGCUCAACUCCGGAACUGCCUUUGAUACUGGCAAUCUAGAGACUGGAAGAGGUUAGUGGAAUUCCCAGUGUAGAGGUGAAAUUCGUAGAUAUUGGGAAGAACACCAGUGGCGAAGGCGGCUAACUGGUCCAGUACUGACGCUGAGGUGCGAAAGCGUGGGAGCAAACA